rnacentral:ncRNA from 1 species
GAAAAAACAGUGACGAGGAGUAGUAGUGGGCCCCUGCUUGCGCCUAGAGAAUUGACGGUUGGUGGAAGUCAAUCGCAGCAGCCAUGAACUCGCCUUGAAGUUGCAUUGGUGAACAGGAAGUAGCCAAUGACGUUGCCCGCGUUAAGGGACACGAGUGAGCCUUUAAAGGAGCAAGGUUAACGAGGGUGGUACCGCGGGUCGUUUGUUAUACAAACCUCUCGUCCCUUUU